rnacentral:rRNA from 1 species
CAGUAGCCGCGGGAAUACGGAGGGUGCAAGCGUUAAUCGGAAUUACUGGGCGUAAAGCGCACGCAGGCGGUCUGACAAGUCAGAUGUGAAAUCCCCGGGCUUAACCUGGGAACUGCAUUUGAAACUGUCAGGCUGGAGUCUUGUAGAGGGGGGUGGAAUUCCAGGUGUAGCGGUGAAAUGCGUAGAGACCUGGAGGAAUACCGGUGGCGAAGGCGGCCCCCUGGACAAAGACUGACGCUCAGGUGCGAAAGCGUGGGGAGCAAACAGGAUUAGAUCCCCAGUAGUCCCUGUCUCUUAUACA